rnacentral:rRNA from 1 species
UACGGAGGGUGCGAGCGUUGUCCGGAAUCAUUGGGCGUAAAGGGCGCGUAGGUGGCCCGGUCAGUCUUUGGUGAAAGCGCGGGGCUCAACCCUGCGUCGGCCAGGGAUACUGCCGCGGCUCGAGCACUGUAGAGGCAGGCGGAAUUCCUGGUGUAGCGGUGAAAUGCGCAGAUAUCAGGAGGAACACCGGUGGCGAAGGCGGGUCUCUGGGCCGAUAUUGACGCUGAGGAGCGAAAGCGUGGGGAGCAAACAGG